AUGCUUUUGUAGUUCAAGAAUGUGAUGAUUGGGUGAUCACACACAUGUGUGAGAUGUGCCACCCUUGAACCUUGUUACAGCAUUGGCACAUUAUCCGUUUGCCA